rnacentral:rRNA from 1 species
AUUGAACGCUGGCGGCAGGCUUAACACAUGCAAGUCGAGCGGGGUGAUGGUGCUUGCACUAUCACUUAGCUGCGGACGGGUGAGUAAUGCUUAGGAAUCUGCCUAUUAGUGGGGGACAACAUCUCGAAAGGGAUGCUAAUACCGCAUACGCCCUACGGGGGAAAGCAGGGGAUCUUCGGACCUUGCGCCAAUAGCUGACCCUAAGACGGAUUAGCGAGUUGGUGGGGUAAAGGCCUACCAAGGCGACGAUCUGUAGCGGGUCUGAGAGGAUGAUCCGCCACACUGGGACUGAGACACGGUCCAGACUCCUACGGGAGGCAGCAGUGGGGAAUAUUGGACAAUGGGCGGAAGCCUGAUCCAGCCAUGCCGCGUGUGUGAAGAAGGUCUUUUGGUUGUAAAGCACUUUAAGCGAGGAGGAGGCUACUUAGAUUAAUACUCUGGGAUAGUGGACGUUACUCGCAGAAUAAGCACCGGCUAACUCUGUGCCAGCCGCCGCCGUAA